rnacentral:rRNA from 1 species
GGGUGGUAAUGCCGGAUGCUCCGGUUGGAUGCAUGUCCUUCCGGGAAAGAUUCCAUCGGUAUGGGAUGGGGUCGCGUCCUAUCAGCUUGAUGGCGGGGUAACGGCCCACCAUGGCUUCGACGGGUAGCCGGCCUGAGAGGGCGACCGGCCACAUUGGGACUGAGAUACGGCCCAGACUCCUACGGGAGGCAGCAGUGGGGAAUAUUGCACAAUGGGCGCAAGCCUGAUGCAGCGACGCCGCGUGCGGGAUGGAGGCCUUCGGGUUGUAAACCGCUUUUGAUCGGGAGCAAGCCCUUCGGGGUGAGUGUACCUUUCGAAUAAGCACCGGCUAACUACGUGCCAGCAGCCGCGGUAAUACGUAGGGUGCAAGCGUUAUCCGGAAUUAUUG